rnacentral:rRNA from 1 species
AUUGAACGCUGGCGGCAGGCCUAACACAUGCAAGUCGAGCGAGUGGCGGACGGGUGAGUAAUGUCUGGGAAACUGCCUGAUGGAGGGGGAUAACUACUGGAAACGGUAGCUAAUACCGCAUACCAUCAGAUGUGCCCAGAUGGGAUUAGCUAGUAGGUGGGGUAACGGCUCACCUAGGCGACGAUCCCUAGCUGGUCUGAGAGGAUGACCAGCCACACUGGAACUGAGACACGGUCCAGACUCGUACGGGAGGCAGCAGUGGGGAAUAUUGCACAAUGGGCGCAAGCCUGAUGCAGCCAUGCCGCGUGUAUGAAGAAGGCCGUCGGGUUGUAAAGUACUUUCAGCGAGGAGGCGUUACCCGCAGAAGAAGCACCGGCUAACUCCGUGCCAGCAGCCGCGGUAAUUC